rnacentral:snRNA from 1 species
GGAGGAGAUGCAUGGCCCCUGAGCAAAGAUGACAUGCAAAUUCGUGAAGCAUUCCACAGUUUU